AAAAGAUAACAUUUGAUAUGUAAAUACAUACAUAAAAUAUCUAAUAAAAAAGAAAGAACAAUAAAAAGAAUCAAUGAAACAAAGAGUUGACUCUUAAGAGAAAUUAGACCGACUCUUAUUUUAGAGAGGGGGGGGGAGAGAGAGAGAGAGAGAGAGAGAGAGAGAGAGAGAGAGAGAGAGAGAGAGAGAGCCUGAGCCCUUCAUUCUGUUGCUCCCAGUAAUGUUGGUGCACUUCUCAUUCACAUGCUGAUUCCAUUUAUGUGCUACAGAGUGUAGCAUCAUCUGGGAAGCUCCUGAGGGCGCCUAAUGCAUCAAGAGGAAUACUUCAGAAUCUCCUAACCCCCCAGUCUCCUUUCUAAACAACUAAGGAAACAAUCUGCAAGUAGCUAGGAUAGAUGGCAAGAAUGUAGCAGGUUUAUUUGCAGUGAAUCAUUUGUUUUAUGUGCAUUUUCCCAACAUGUAGCUUUUAAUGUAAAUGAAAAAGCCAUCACAUGGAGACAUCAAGCAGGGAUGGCUAUGUCUAAUGAGACUGAUGCCAAGGAUCAAGUCAGUCAUAUUCACAGGCAACAGGACAUAGGACACUUUCCAAGAAAAGCAUUGGAACUUUUGAAUUCUGAAGAUAAUUUUUUUUAGAUUCGUUUACUUGUUUUGAUAGGAUCCUUAAAUUAUUUACUUUUAAUAUUUAAGGUCUUACUCGAAACAAAUAAAAAGUAAAGAGCAAAAGUAGCAGUCAUUAAUGGCAAAGAAUUCUUAGGAGGAGCACAGCAUGUUUACUUACAGGGUAGUAACUACUGAAUAUUAAGACUCCAUAGAUAGUGAUCCUAUUAAUUAUAUCCUUCAUUUUUUCCCUCACUUAAACUUUAUUUGUCUAACUUUUUUCUUAUAUACAUCAGUUCUUUAUAUAUUAUCAGAAAACAGCAUCAAUAUUUUGUAUAAAAAUGACUUUUAUUCUAUGUUUAAUAUAGGCUAUCUAUUUUUACCUGUUACAAAUUUAUAUAGAGAAAAAUUACAGAUAGCAGUGCUAUCAUAUACUCAGCAAUGCCCACUUUUUUUCAUUGAUAACAAGCAUACAGAGUGAUGGAUUGAUUCUCAGUAUUCUGAGUAGACUGUAAGUCAGGUAACUGAUUUAUUUGAGGACCUGACAUUUUCUACUUUGCACAAUGUUGUGAGCAAACAUCAUCUAAAAAACAGCUUAGUGAAAGGCUCACAUUUGUGAGACAAUAGUCCAAGAUGGCGGAAAAGCAUGGCUUAGGGACUAUGUUGAGACUGUGUCCGUGAAAGCGUGAGGCUGUGUGAGCAUGAAUGGCUAAGAUUAAAAACUCAGGUGGCAGUAGAUGUUGUUGAGGAUGUGAAGACAUGGGAACACUCCUCCAUUGUUGGUGGGAUUGCAAGCUGAUACAACCACUCUGGAAGUCAGUUCCUCAGAAAAUUGGACAUAGUACUUACCUGAGGACCCAGCUAUACCACUCCUGGGCAUAUACCCAAAAGAUACUCCAAAAUAUAAUGAGGAUACAUGCUCCAUUAUGUUCAUAGUAGCCUUAUUUAUAAUAUCCAAAAGCUGGAAAGAACUCAGAUACCCUUCAACAGAGGAAUGGAUACAGAAAAUGUGGUAUUUACACAAUGGAGGACUACUCGGCUAUUAAAAACAAUGACUUAAUGAAAAUCUUAGGCAAAUGGAUGGAACUAGAAAAAUAUCAUGCUGAGUGAGGUAACCCAGUCACAAAAGAACACACAUGGUAUACACUCACUGAUAAGUGGAUAUUAGCCCAAAAGCUUGGAAUACCUAAGAAGAAAUUCACAGAUCAUAUGAAGCUCAAAAAGAAGGAAGAUGAAGAUGUGGAUGUUUCAUUCCUUCUUAGAAAAGAGAACAAAAUACUCACAGGAGGAAAUAUAGGAAUGAAGAGUAGAGCAGGGACUGAAGAAAAGGUUAUUCAGAGACUGCCCCAUCUGGGAAUUCAUCCCAUAUGCAGCCACCAAACCCAGUCACUAUUGCUGAUGCCAAGAAGUGCUUGCUGACAGGAGCCAGAUAUGGGUGUCUCCUGAGAGGCUCCACCAGAGCCCUACUGAUACAGAUGAGGGUCAUUGUAGCUAACCAUUGGACUGAACAAGGGAACCUCAAUGGAGGAGUUAGAGAAAAUAAUGAAGGAGCUGAAGGGGUUUGCAUCACCAUAGGAAGAACAAUAAUAUCAACCAACCAGACACCACCAGAACUCUUAGGGACUAAGCUAUCAACCAAUGAGUAUACACAGAGGGACCCAUGACUGCAGCCACAAAUGUAGCAGAGGAUAGCAUUGCCCAAUAUCAGUAGGAGGAAAAGCCCUUGUUUCUGUGAAGGUUCUUUUCCCCAUUGAAGGGGAAUGCCGGGGUUUAAGGUUGGAGUGGGUGCGUGGGAGUGGGAGUAUCCUCAUAGAAGCAGAAGAAGGGUAGGGGGUAUGGGAGAAGGGCCAAGGAAUAAUAUUUGAAAUGCAAAUAAUAAAAUAUUCAAGAAAAAUAAAAUUAAAAAAGGAAGCAGAGGAAAGAGGGAGUAGAGUUGGUCUCAAAACCCAACAUCCUUUCUGAUUUACCAGACAGGUUCCACCUCCACCAGUCCCACUGCCUCUCAAAAUAGUGCCACCCACUAGGUACCAAGUGUUCAAACACCUCAGCCUAAAAGGAACAUUUAACAUUCAAACUACAACAGGCUCUUUUUCAAUCAAAUAACAUUUUGCCUAAUUUUAUAGUACUUAGCACACAGUCCUAAUAUCACUCCCUUUUUUUAAUGUAGAAAGAAAAGGGGAUCAUGUCUUCUUUUGGAACUGAGAAAAAAGCCUUAAUAAUGGAGGGCUUUCUAAGAUGAGAACUCAACAUCUGCCAUCCUUGUGUUUAAAUGUCCCAAUAGUUUUCAGGUUCCAAAGCAAACAGAAGCAUACUGUGUCAAAUUUAUCUAAUUAUCAGACUACAUGCUAGCUAAGCCCAUUAGCAAUCUGCCAUGCUAUUUUCCCCAUCAAAUAACUUUUACAAAAAGUAAAUACUUGCACACAAAACACAAUAUGUUUAUACAUAUAUACAUGCAUGCUUAUUUAUUUAUUAUGUUACUUGAUUAUUUUCAAUUUCAAUGCUACUAAACUUAACAAGCUGUUUUAUUUCAUUUGAUUGUUACGGGAAGUAAACAAGGACAUUUAACUUCGUUUUAGUCACUAAGACUGUAUGUAUAGAUAACUUUGGCAACAUUCUUUCUCGUGUGUGUGUGUGUGUGUGUGUGUGUGUGUGUGUGUGUGUGUGUACAUAUAUACAUCAGCUUCUUUCUAUAGGCCAUGUUCAAUCAAUCACUCUUUUACAUUAGGAGAUCAUGGUUAUUCUGAAUUGAAAUGGUAAACAGAAACCCUAAAGCCUCACAAAGCUUAGCUCAAAGCUCAGUAUCCCAUUCAUGGAUUUCAUGGCCUGGCUCUAUUUCUGAAUCUCAGAUUCUUUGUCUGUAAACAUGAAUUCAGCAUGAUGGAGGACUAAGCAUAUAACACAUCUUUAAAGCAAGUCUGGCUCCUCAUAAGUUCUCAAUGAAUGUUGCUUCCUGUAUUUACCUGAAAGUCACCACACUGAAGCAUAUGUACUUUCCAAAAAGAAAAAAAUGUGUUUCGGUGGUUAAGAGCAUAUAUUGCCCUAGUAAAAGAUGUGAGUUCUGUUCCCAGAACCCAUAUCCCUAAGGGUACAGCCAUCUGUAAUUCCAGCUUUGUACGUGGAUCCAAUGUUUCUAGCCUCCCUAGGCAAUUUUACUCAUGUGCACUCAUACACAGUCAUACACACACACACACACACACACACACACACACACAAUUUUAAAAUAUGAAUUUGAAUAAUAAUCAUAUUAAUGGUUUUAAUAUGUAAGAUAACUUUUGAAUUUAUACAACUUAAACUGCAAUAUGCUUUUAGACUUUUAUUUACUUAUAUACUUACUUAAAGAUAAAAGUGCUCUGUACGCAUGUACACCUGCAUGCCAGGAGAGAGCAUUAGAUCCCUUUAUAGACGGUUGUGGGCCACCUGGGACCUCUGGAAGAACACUCAGUGCUCUUAGCUGCUGAACCAUCUUGUGUGGCCUGAAACUGCAAUAUCUUAACACAUAGGGUUUGAACUAGACGAGAAGUUGGGGAUAUGUCCUAUAGAUAAUGAUACAGCUUCCACCUCAGUUCUUGGCCACUUGGGAUUCUUACCCCUUUUUCCUACUUUGCUACCUCAUAGUUAGAAACUGACUUCUUACUGCUUGUGUGGAACCACCAUAUCUCAGACACUUUCAAGAGCUGACUUUGAAGGACCAAUGACUUUGGUUUCUCUUUGGUCAGGAGAACAAAUGAUUUCCCCUAAACACAUCAGAGGCUUUUGUGAUCUGUCUGGAUAUAUUUGGAUCCAAUACUUCCUAAAAUCCCAGGUUAGAUGGGAAACUAACUGUUCAUCUGGCAAACAAGGUCACCAGCAAUGCCAGAUAAAUGAGAUCAUAUAAAAAACAUUUAAUUCAUGUCAGGGCUAAAUAUCAUAACGGCAAAAGCAUGUUUCUAAGACUAGAAUGCAUGUUAUUUUAAAAGGUAAAUAGUAACAAAGAACAGGCAUUCUUGCCUUUUCAUGUGCUAGAGGUCCAGAGCUUAAUUUCUCUUUUCAUAGAAAGAGUUAUUGCUUUUGAGAGUAUGAUUUGUUUUAUCUCUUAAUGUAUGCUUCUCUUUUAUCUUGGAAAGUGAAGGCAGAAUGAUGCAGAAAAGGAGGAAGAAAGAAGGAGGAGUAGAAAGAAGGAAAAGUUAGGAGUAAAGAAAAAUGGGGAGUAUAGAAUGUAGAAAGUAGAGAAGGAAAAGAGGCAGGAGACAGGAGAGAUAUGGGGAGGGGAGGGACAUUCACAUGAGCAGUGGGUGUCAUUCUGCUUAAGAAUCUUUCCCCAGUAUCAUUUUAUUACACCCUCCCCACAAGUACACUGAACAUUUUUCUCUCUGUCUCUUUGAUGAACCACACUCACUCUCAUCCCCAGGAGAGCUGUUGCAUUUAUUUCCUUAUCUAAAAAUUCUCUCUCUCUCUCUCUCUCUCUCUCUCUCUCUCUCUCUCUCUCUCUCUCUCUGUAUCUCUCUCCGCUCCCUCUCCCUCUCCCCUCUCCCUCUACUUCCCUCCAUGAAACUUUAUUUUCCUAUCAUCACUUGGUUUGUUAGUACCAAUAACAUGAAACUUAUAAGGAAAAGAAUUAUGAAUUCUCAGUUCACCCAAUGAUUGCAUGGACAAUAGCAUUCAAGGGAAAGUCCCUCUGUAUGAAGACUCAUUAAAACUAUUAAAAUUAGUUUUCCAAGAUGUGCUGAAGUAUUAUAUGACAGACCCUUGCCCCUUUUUCCUCCAUUGGAAAGCAGACUCUUUCUAAUCUGAUGAAAUGAAGUUAAAUGUAAUUAUGCAAUGAACACUUCACUAAUUGGAAAUCAUUUAUAUGGAGAAAAACACAUCGAUGUCACAUUGGGUGGAUGACAAUAUUAUUAGCUAACUUUCUUGAAGGAAAUUAUUGAGUUUGUUGCUUCUUUCUUUGUUUUUUAAUGGCUAAUGAUUCCUAUCGUUGUUUUCCUUCACUAUUGCCAAGAUACUUAGGGGGUUUGUUUUGUUUAGUUUUCUUACCCGUUUCAAUCCUUUUGUUGUCUUCUAUUUUAACCAAAUUAUCUGAGUGUAUCUGUAUUGGACUCAUUUUCCCCUCUUGAAUACUCUAGGUCCUAGAGCUUUACUGAGCCUCAUAUACUCUCGCCAUUAAUUAUUUUAAUGAGAAAGGGGUCAGGAGGGACCUGUUGAGCUUACUCAGCCUUUUGUGCUUGCUCCAAUGUAAUGCAAGACAAAUCACCUUUGAAUCUUCUUUCUGAUUCUGCAAUGCCAGCCUCCCUUUGUUUUCAGAAUCCAUUUGCCAUCAGACUAUCUCGAGGUUCACUUAGGUCUCCACUUCCCCUGAAUCAUCAAUCAAAGGCUUUUAUGCAUGCCAGGCAAGUGUUCUGCCACUGGGCUAGAUCCCUCCUCAUUAUUUUGAGAUAGGUUCUCACUACAUGACUCAAGCUGACUAAUAACUUCCUGUGUGGCAUAGACUGAUUUGUGGUCCCUCUACUUUUGCCUCCCAGGUGCCAGGAUUACCCUACUUGCUUCAGUAUGUACAACUUCACGUCUAGAACCAAUACAGAUAGCUUCCUAACUUUCAGGGCUGCAUGUAUUAAAAUGAAAUGUUAUUUAAGUAUGCUAUAUUUUUAUUCAAUAUAUCCAAAACCAUUAUCACCUUACUUUAUAUGCCUUGGCUUAUAUAGUUCUCAAAUAGCUAUCCUUGUCAUAAAUAUUUAUAAGAUUGCUUAUAAGAAUGUUCUGAUAGUUACAUUUUCUUGUCUUUUGGACACUUGUUCUUAAUUCAUUAUUCUCCUCAUCACUGACUAUCCCUUCUCUCCUUCCUGUCCAGUUUAAAGUACCCUAUGUGCUUAAGGUACUCAUUGUAACUUUUGAUGGUGUAAUGGCUAUUGUUGAUUGUCAACUGGACUAUAUCUAGAAUUAACUAAAACACAAGGGGCUGGGUACAACAGUGUGAGAUUUUUCUUGAUUGAAUCAUUUGAAGUUGGAAGAAUCACCUGAAGAAUCUUUUAAGGUGGGAAGAUCCAUCUUUAAACUUGGCUAACACUUCUGGUGGCAGUCUACCAAAAAGACAUGGAAAAAUGAAGACUGUUUUCUUUUUAUGCUUGACCACACUCUCACUGGCAAAUUCAUUCCUUCGCUGUUAUUAGAGCCUACUUCUAUAUGAGAGAAUCUUAUACUGAACAAUUACUGGAUUCUUGGAAUUUCCAUCAAAAAGCAGACACGAUUGGAACAUGAGUCGUGUGUGUGUGUGUGUGUGUGUGUGUGUGUGUGUGUGUGUAAAGAUAGAGAAAGGGGGUAAUAGAGGAAAUAGAGAGAUAAAAGAUAGAUAGAUAGAUAGAUAGAUAGAUAGAUAGAUAGAUAGAUAGAUAGACAUUCAUUCAUUCAUUCAUUUGUUCUAUCAAUUCUGUUUUACUAAAGUAUCCUGAGAAAUACAUACUAUGCAGCAUGUAGAAGUGGCCACUUUUAUGAUCAUCUGCCAUACAGUAACACAGAAAGCAUACUUAACCACCAUGUGACACUAAUGUAUGAAAUUUAUCAUGCAAAACUUUAAUUAUUAUGGGACUGUAAACCAAUCUGAGGUGGGAGAAACUUCUAGAAGCUACUUUUAAAGUGAACUUCCAAUCCUGUAGUUAAAGAGCAGUGUCCACACAGAGGCUGAGGGUCAGUGGAAUCGAUUUUCUUAGAACUGGGUAGAAACUUUAAAGAACAUUGGAGUAACAUUUAAAUGCCUAUGUUUCUAAGAUCUAUCCUGCAAAAUUUGCUUUUCUGGGACUAUUCCAAUUGAUUUCUUUUAAUGAACUUCCCCAAGAAUUAUUUUUCCAAGUUACUAAGUUAUUGAACUUUCAAUAAUUACUUUUUUUCUUUCCAAAGAAGACCUCUUGGUGCGUGUGCUUCAAGUCUGUCAAUAAUCUUGUCCUAUACAGCCAAUGGUGAAGCCUUAACAUCAGAGCUGAGGGAAAGACACAACAUGGGGGUUACAUUCAUAGUAAUUUACAUUGUCUUCCCCUUUAUAGCAUGUUUCUUCUUAUCAGAGAAAAUGUGUGUCCAUUCUAUGGGCCUACCUACUGAUAAAUGGCAACCAUGGCUGGCAACAGCAAAGUUCCAACAGAGAUCUGAUCCUCAGACAUCAGAUUUACAAGAUUCCUCCCUACCCUCCGUAGAAACUAUACUCUUUUAAAAAGUAAAUCAUGUUUGUGGUUUGUCAGUUUCACUUCACUGGGAAUAAAUGUAGGUUUUGAUUAUGUAUCCUCCAUUGUUAGCACUGUCCAUGUAGCGUAACUUGUCUAAUGUGAAGGAGCCUUCCAUAUACAUCCCAGAAUCUGAAUCUUCAGACAGUAACUUCUCAUAAGGUUCCUUACAUUAGAGUACACUUAGAAGAAUCAAUUGACCUCAAAGUCUCCUUUCCUCAGGAUUUCAAUGAGACACUAGAAUAUUUUGAUUUUCUAUCAUUUUCAUCUUUGCUAUGUUUUAUAUGGAUGUCAGAAGCAUUAUCUUCUAAGAAGAAUCUCACUCUUAUGGGGUCCAGAUGGUAGAACUCAGGUCUGAUAAAAGAUGACAUUUUUCACAGUCAAAAAGAUAUCACCACAGUCUGGUAUCAAAUUGCAGAUAACAUUUCCAGAUUUGAGAUAAUGGAAUUUGUACUAAUUCAUAUGUCAGUCAAUUUUUGGCCACUACUGUAUGGCUUUCAGAAUACAACAAACAUAACUUUUAGAAUUUACACAGCUAUGUGUUCUUAGAAAUCACUUACAAUUAUAAAAGUAUGUAAGUAUACUAUAUGUAUACACAAUAUUCCUCUUUGCGACAAUCAGCUAGAUUGCAUUUAGCUUCUGUUACCCAUCUUAUACCAAUUUUUACACCGCUAAGGUAUUCCCGAGAACAACUUAAAAUUUCUUUUACACACAACCUUUACUAAUCUAUAAUUUGUAAUGGUAUAGAUGUGAAGAUCCCAUCCUCAGUUAUUUCUUCCCCUCUUGUCUAUAUCAGACUUCUCAUGACCAUAAGUCAAACAGAUCAUGUGUCCCAUUGAUAGGUGUGUUUUUAGUUUACUUUAAUCAAAUGAAAUCUUACUGCACAAGAAUGUCUCAUUAUUCUGAUAUAUGCCAUGUUUCAUCUGAACCUAACAAAGUUCUUAAAAGUUUACAACAUCCAGAUGACCUUCUUAUAUCUAAGUACCACAUCAAUACAUUCACAUACCAGCAUACAUAGAAGUAAGCAGGACAAAAGAGAUAAGUCUUUCACUUAACAAUUUAAAGAAUUCAUAGAAGUCAUCAGAACACUAAUUGAAGAGACUGUGUGUGUGUGUGUGUGUGUGUGUGUGUGUGUGUGUGUGUUCUAAAAUUACAGCAACAGAUGGCUUGCUUCUAUAAUCUACUGUACAAAACACUGAGGUAGGAGGACCAUGAGUUCCAGGCAAGACAAGUCUACAUAAAAUGACCCCUUCAAAAGAAACAAACAAAUAGGGCUCUUCAUCAGGUGACAGUGCUUGCCUCCAAAGCCAGAAGAGCUAAGAUCAAUCUCUGCCUCCCAUGGUAGGAGAGCACUGAUUCCAAAAGUUGUCCUCUAACCUUCACACAUGGUACAUGUAUACCUGUGCUCAAACAUAUAUGUGCACAGAGACACACCCUUAACUAUUUUGUUUGUUAAACACACACACACACACACACACACACACACACACACACACACAUAUAUAUAUAUAUAUAUAUAUAUAUAUAUAUAUAUAUAUAUAUAUAUAUAUAUAUAUAACGUAUAACAUAUAACAGUUUGAGGUUGCAGAGGGCAUCCGUGGCAGAAUCCAUAAUCCAAAGCCCAAAACUAUCAAAUCUAUUCAACAAAUAGCACCUUAGAAAAUUAGAACAUACACUAGCAUGUCAUAGUGUAAUACUGUUCUAAUACAACUAUCUGAUCUGACAAAAUGAUUUCUAACUCUUUUCAUGAGUAUGUAUGUCUUUACACAUGUAUAUUUUAAGGAUUCAUAGUCAGUAAUUGAGUUGUAUAGGAGAUGCUAACUGGGAAUUAAUGAACUCCUCUAGAUUCUGAUGGAUGUUCAGUGUUUACAGAUGGUGAGAAGACAAACAUUCCACUUGGAAGAGGAUAGGGAAAUAAGAUCCAGUAUGAAAUUUUAAGAUAUUCUCUGAGGAAAUAUGCAUAUGUUCUGGCAAAGUGAAUGAGAAAUGAAAAAAAACACAGUAUUCUGAAAAUUUCCAGUUUUAGGAAAGAAAUGAAGAAUUUCAUAAUUUGAUUAGGAGUUAAAGUGUCUGACCUUUUAUGAAUAACUAUGUCAAAUAUUAAAAAUAUCUAAGUUUGGUUUAUAUAAUAUGUAAUUAUUUUAAAUGAUUUUAUUUACAUAUUGACUCUUCCUGAUGUCUGAAAUACUUUUGUGAUGCAAAUACAUCACACAUUAAUCAUCUGAAGAUAAAAUCUUAGGUGAUUUUGUUGCAUUUUUGUUAUAAUAGUGAUAUUAUGUAAAGUUUAGAACUCCAACAAAGUAAGGGGUAUUUCAGUAGGCAAGUCAGAAAUGUUGUAGCAACAAAGAACAGAUUAUAUGAUCCUUUGUUGAUGAAUAUGGAGUUUGUUUUUGUCUUUUAUGUGGUAAGCCUCUGAAAAUAUAUAUAUAUAUAUAUAUAUAUAUAUAUAUAUAUAUAUGAUGUAGAGAAACAAGUAUAAUCUGAUUCACAAAGGGCCAAAGGGUCACUCUAAUUAUCUGAAUAUAGACUGUUCUGCAUGGGACAAGUGAGCAAGCACUGUUCAGGUGCUAUAGAACAGCAGAGUAUGCAAAGCAAAAUAUUUGGGGCUAGGGUAGGAGGCGUACAGAUAGUUAUUAAGCUCUGGAAGCAGAUUUUAUAAGGAUUCCACAAUAGUGUCUUAGUCAGGGUGUAAGGGAAUUAAACAUGGCAGGAACCCCACAAGUAUGUCUCUGAUUCUUUUGCCUGCUUGUGAAACUCUGUUCUUCUUAUCGGGUUGCCUUAUCUGAUCUCAAUAUGAGGGCUUUUGUCUUAUGUUAUUGCAUCUUGUUUCAUCCUGUUUGUCUAUCACCUAUUGGAGGCCUGCUCUUUUCGAAAGAGAAAAAAAGUGGGAGAAGAUUUGGGGAAGAGAGGAAGUGGGGGAGGUAGGAGAAGGAGGGGGCUGUGGUUGGGAUGUAUUUUAUGAGAGAAGAAUCUAUUUUCAAGGAAAAUAGAAAAAAUAUAUUAUGCCGUUUCAAAAUAGAGGCAGUAUUGGAUUCUCAAAGAUAACAUGAACUCACUAACUCCUGGUAAUUGGCUAUAUUUACAAUACCAAACAUAAUUUCCUUCCUGCUGAGCAGGUCUUAAAUCCAAUUAGACAUUUGUUGAUUACCACCAUACUAUAAGAACCACUACAGUACCUUUAGGAAUAUCAUAUCUUAUGGCCAUUGUUGUGGUUCAUUGAUAUAACAGUUGGGCAGGACUAUUCAUUGCUUUCAUCUUUUGGUAACUAGGAUUACACCUUGUUGUAUGAUGAAGGUUAGAAGUCAGAGUAGAGGCUUUCAGUUUAGAUCCAUCUCAGAUCUUUGGAGUAUUGCUAUUCUCAAUUAUCUAGAGCCUUGUUCUUAAUUUAACAUUAAGAGUAUCAAGAGAAAUAUAAGCUUUAACUGCAUUUAUUAUAACUAGUGAAUGAAUAAAUUAUAUAUUUCAUUAAAACAAAGAACCCUUUUUAUUUCCUUUUUCAUUCUUUCCUCUUGGGGCAGCAGUGACUAUGUAAUUAAGAGGAAUUGUCUUCAAAUAUAAAAAGGAUUACGCAUAAAAAAGCAGGAAUAUUUGUGGAAUGCUAACUACCCAAGGGCUUUAGUUUAGUUCAUGUAGUCUUGCGUUUGUCCAUUUGGCAGACAAGUGAAAUUGGACACACUCUCCUUUGUAAAUCUAAACUCAGGAAAGAAGUCCUAUCUAGAGGGUGUCAUAGCUAUGAUUUAUUGCUUCGAUGUUACCUGAGGUUUUCAGACAGUAAAAGCGUAUAAAGUACAGAUGAUGACAUCUAAUCGAAGAACCCUCUAUACUCUGUUCUAGUUGAAAGAUUUCCAAAAAAAUUAGGGGCUCAGUUCCAUUGAUUUCUAGUUUAUUUUCAGGAGGAUAAUUACCCUGUGGUGCCUACUAAAAGCAGGAAACAAGUCUCAGAUGGUUAUGGAAACAGUUUAAUAUUAUAUUAUUCAAUUUUAAAAAGUACAUAUAGAAAAAUAUAAAAAUCUGAAAAUAAAUCCUUUUAUAUGGAGUGGUAACUUAUCAAGACUGCCAAUUAAGUUUUCAUUUUAAUAUCUUUGUUUUCUGUUUCAGUAUAGUUAAGCUUUUGAAUAUAUUGUGCCUAUAAGGAUUUUGUUAGAGAAGAUAGAUAAUGACCUUUUGUUAAAUGGAAAUAGGUGUCUGUAAUUAUUUUCUGCCAUUUUAUGUGUUGAAGCAUGAAAAACUUUCCAAAAAAAUGUAUAUACAUCUGUCUGCAUCUGUCCUAACACUGUGGUAGCCAUAUUCCAGGGUUAUUGGCAGGGAUGUAGGCAAGGGUUACUGGAUUCAGAUAAGGAAUGACCUUGCUGAGAGAUGAUCAUGUGAAACUGAAUAUUCAGGGACCGGAGACUUAACAGACUAUUAUGGUUGUCCCUUUUAUAUUGGUGAGUAAUGAGUUAGCUAUUAUACCUCAGAGGCCUAAAAGGAGCUGUGCAGUGGAGAGUGAUGUACAUUUUCAGCUUCUAGGUGAAUAAAAAUGCGGGCAUGGCCACUCCUCAGGAUCAUUCAAAUGGUUUUUAUUGAAAAUAGAAGGGAGACAUCUGGAAGAUAUAAGUCAGAGGCAUCUAGAAGAGUCCAGAUUGAACAUAAGAAGAAUAGAGCAAGCCAUGAGGGGAAAGAGUGGGAGAGAAUAGAGGAGAGAGGGGACCAAGAGAGGGAGAAAAGCCAAGCAAAGGCAUGGCCGAAAGCGCUGAGUUAUAUGGGAAAGAGAAGCUGAAGCAUGAAAGCAAAGCUCAGGAGCUGAAGGGGCUUAAGGUAGAGUAGGAGAAUGAGUAGAACAGAGGAGCUUGGACUCUGUAACGGAUGGUGCUGAGAGAGCCUGGCAGCUUGCAUGCACUUUGCUAUGUUAAAUGGACACAAAGGUUAGCCAUUCGUCCUGAGUUCCUUUGAGACCUAAAAGUAGGAGAACUCAAGAGAAAAGAUUAGGGUUCAAAGUACAUUACCAACUAGCACCUCCCUCCUGGAGUUUCCUAUAUCUUAAGUGAUGUGUUUUUCCCUAGACUUUUCAAUGCUCUUUGGUGUGCUUCUUACAAAUCUUAGACAAAGGGAAGAAACAGUUUCUGAAUGCCUUCCAGAGAUUAGGGCUGUGCCAUUUCCACUAUCCCUGUGUCUCCUGUGAACACCUCACUGGAGAUGAUGUUUGUUUUGCAAAUAAGGACACACGCUCUGAAGUCUUAAAGGAUAGCCCUACUGCUAUAAAAUUUAUGAGAAUCAAACAAGUUCUCGGGAACUCCACAGGUCUUCACUAUUUUUUUUAAGAAAAAGAAGACAGAUGACUCAAGUAUUUCCCAUCAUAAUGAGGAAGUCUCUAUUCAAACUUAAAAAAAAAGUAAAAUUUGAAAUUGAGAAUUUAAUUUUCUUAAUAUCAGAUUCCUACUAUUGCUCAGGAAUGCGUUAAGUUUCUAGGGCAAGUACAUGAUAACUAACAAUUAGAAUAUAAAAAAUACCAAUUACAAUAAAUUGGCUAUUGCCUGUCACAAAUUAUCAUACCUUUAUAAUCUUACAUAUGCUAAAGACACAUGUUGGUACAAAGAAUAAGUGAGGAAUUAUCGAGUUGCUAAUUGCACUUGCAAAGUAAAGCUAUUGUAUCUGCUAAUACUUAAAAAACCAUGGAAGUGGUCAAGUUGCGAGACACAGAAAAAGCAAUAAGAAAAGAAUGGUAGAAUAGUAGGAAUAUUUGAAUUGGAGAUGCAGUUUGAAGAGAGAGCUGACAGAGCUAACAAGCCGCAUAUUGAUUAUCAAAAGGAAGAAAAGAUGAGAUGAGCUCUUAUUUGGGGCUCAAUGACUCAAUAAUGAGAUGCUUUUAAAUGAGGAAUUUUAAUCAUAUUUUGUUCCAUUCAUCAUGUUGGCAGCCUAACCAAGCAAUGCAAGCGUAACACAGCAGAAAAUAUCCAAAAAUCCUAAGAUUUGUACCUGUGCAUAGUCAGCUCUUCACCUGUGAUGAGAGUAACGAGGUCAGAGAUGAUGUUUCUGUGACAAGAUAGAUGACUGUGUGUGGAAAGACAAGGAGAUCAAUUUGUUUUGUAAUCAUUUCAAUUUGAUGAAUCAAAGGGGUAGAUUGUUCUGGGUUUGUUGCCCCUAGUCAGGCAAAGCUUCCAAUGUGACAGAGGUGCUCUUUGGAUAGCUUUGAAAAACUCCUGUCAUUUUGAACACAAAUGGGACUCUGAAUCCAAAAGCACUGGUUCUCUAGCCAGCACACUGCAGUUUUCACUGGGAUCAUUGAGUUCAGCUCAUUAUAUAAAGUAAAAAGCCUGUACUUUUCAGUUGGUAAGAUCUAGUUUCACAUGUCAGUUAGAUCUGGGAUCAGUCACAGCAUUUCAAAACAGAGCCUCUGCCAGUAUACUAAAGAGUACUGUCAGGAAACCAAGAUAAAGGGCCUUUAUAGAUCUCCCACACUGUUCUUUGAACUUUUCUUAGAAAGUUGAAAUUAAGUAAAAAAUAAUUAUUCUUGAACAUAAGCCAAAUCAAAUCCAAUAUGGAUACACACCACAAAGGAGGACAGGGUAGUUGUCCUAAUAGAAGUCAGUCUCCAGAAUGUGUCUUUUCUGUUCCAAAACCAGCGUGAGACUUUCCCCACAAUUUCUCAAUAGGGUUUAUAAUAUAAGAAAGCAAUGACCACAGGCAGUUAAACAGCAAUCUCAAAGGGUAGAGUAAACAGAAACUCAACCCUCAGAGAAAGAAUUGUGUGAAAACAUAAAAAGCUGUAGGACAAUUGAUGAGUCAUGCCCCCAAUCAAUAAAACAGAACAUAAAUAUGACAGGAUUGAAAUGGGACUAGGAGGGUUUAAACAAAACACCAUAUUUGGCUUCAGACACAAGAAAAGACCCCACACUCCUACAUUAAACUGCUAUGAAAAUGCCCCCAAGUGUAUUUCAUCCAAAAUUUUUACAUAUCUAUUUAAACUCUUUUAAAAUAUGUAUUAGAAAGGUUUCUGUUUAACUAUCUAGAUUUUAAAAUAAAUAUUAUAGAUUCCACUUUAAAAGCUCCUAAGGGGUUGAAGUGAUUCGACUAAAGUCUAGGCUCAUAAAAAGAGUAACUGAUUGUUCUUUCUGCUAGAAAGCAGCAACAAAAGGAAAGCACACUUUAUAGUGACACGAAACAACAAGAGCAAUAGACAUGGGGAAUUCAGACAUCAGUUAUAAUUUUUACUAGAGAAAGACAUGUUAACUGGAGAAAUAAAAUAUUCAACUACAUAAUCUUUCAAAAAUUCUAAUAAUGAGCAAAAAGCCCUAUCUUCCCAUAGUUUAUAUGCAAGGGUUGGCUGUGCUGGCGUGUACCUAUAAUUCCAAACUUGAGGACUCUAGGAAAGCUGAUCAAGAGUUUAAGACUAGCCCAGACUAAGUGUAAUGCUGUUUCAAAUCAGCAAUAAUAGCAAACAAAACAUGAAACCCCAAAACAAAACAAUAGCAUCCACAAAGUAUUGUCCUAAAUUCUUUCAUCAAAGGGGUAAAUUUCAUUUUCAAACACAAUGAUGUACCUUUAGAACAGCAAGAAUAAUUAACAUAAAACUGUAAAUCUGCCUCAGUAUAACAAUGUGAAUGAUAAUUUGAAUAAAUGUAUUGAAUGAAUAACAAUUUUAUUGUAUUUUUAUGUACUGUUUCCCAAGUAUUUGUGGAGAAAAGACUACAGUAAGAUUUUAUAUACUUGAAGAUUCUAAUAAUGUAAGCAAAAGAUGUUAUAAAUGAUAUAUUCUGUUUAGAACAUGGAGUUGCAGCUGGAUUCAAGAGUGUGAAUCCAUCAGGGAUGGAGAGAUUGGCUAGUCAAUAAAGGCACAUACUACCAAGCCUGACAACUUGAGUUGGAUCUCCAGAACUCAACUGGUAAAAUAGGAAAACUAUUCCCCACAAUUAUUUCUCUUACCUCCAGGAACAUGCACACACAUGUAGACAGACAGAUAAAUGCAUACACAUACCCACGCAUACACACAUUCAUGGCAGGCAGGCAGAUGCACACACAUACAUACACAUAGACACAUGCACAUACACAUGCAUGACAGAUAGAUAGAUAGAUAGAUAGAUAGAUAGAUAGAUAGAUAGAUAGACAGACAGAUAGGAUAGAUAUUUAAUAAAAAAUUUAAUAAUUGCAACUCAACUAAGCAAGAACAAAUGAAUGUUUACUGUUAUGGUACUGACCUCUGGACACUCAACACUAAAAAGACAUACACACACAUACACACACACACAUAUACACACACACAUACACACACAUACACACACAUAUACACACACACAUACACACACAUACACACACACACACUAAAAGGGAAAAGUUUAUGCCAAAUUUUAAUGACCAAGGAAAAGGAACAUGUAUUUUAUCCAAUAUGGAGCUAUUUGACUUACAGUCUCAAGGAUGUUAGGUCACAUGCAGCAGUGGACAAGAAAUGUCUAUUUAGGGGACAAAGUCAAAGAUAAUUGGACUUUAUGCUGGCAUAAGUCCAACUAUCUACACUCACUGAAGUUUUCAUCAGUCAAUCAGCCUUUAGAAUUUUUAAUUUGAUGCUGUUUUUUCCCUUUGAACUUCAGUUCACAAGGCAGAGAGUGAAGUGAUAAGUAUGACAGUCUUUAGCAGAGAGAGCCCACAGAAGCCGUGUGCACAUCAGUCACUGUGCGUGAGCCCUUCGUCACCUGCCUUAACACAUUCUUUCAUGAGAAGGUUAUCAGUGAAGUUUUAAAAACACAGGUGAAAGUUGUAGAGGAGAUAGUAAAAAUAAAAUAAAAUAAAAUAAAAACACUAUAUUAUACAUGUGGAAGUCAAUAAAGGAAUCAUUGACAUUAAAAUUAAGCAAUGGGAUAAAACCUAGUACUUCCCUUGAAGUAUCCUUAUUCUAUGGGUCUUGUUCUGAGAAGAUUUAAUUUUCUAGUGCUAUAUAUACAAUCUAUAAUAUCAAAAGUCAUUUGUGUAAUUGCCUCUUUACUCUGACCAAGAAGAAAUGUUUCAAAUAUAGAUCCACUUCCAAUCACAGAGAUGGUAGUACCAUGCAAGAUUUUACUAGUGACACCCCUGUCCUUGAAUCUUGGGACUGAAGAUUUGUGUUUUAUACAUCCCUGAGGGAACUUGAAGGGAUAGUAUCAGUUAAAAAAUAAAGUAAAAAAGCAAGGGUGCACAACCUAGGAGGAGGUGGAGAGAAAGACAGCGUGGGUUACAGAACAUAGCCCAGGCACUGCCGCAAUGGACUACGUCAGCCUCACUCACUCCAAUGUCACCCUCCAAUGUAGGGUUGUACUUCUGCCUUGUCCUUUUCCUCUCCCAUCUUCAGCUGUCACAUGAAAUACACUGUGAAAAUAAAGAGGGGAAACUUACUUACGAUGGUACGCACUUAUUACAUUGAAUUAUUAGAAGAUCAAUGAAGAAAUUAAAGACAAACGUGUGAAAACUCAAAAAUCACAUUUCAGGGGCCAUAAAGAUUGUUCAGUGGUUAAAGACUUCGCUGCGUUUCCAGAAGACUUUAGUUCAGUCUCCAGCACCCACCUCCGACAUCUCACAGCCAACUGUAACUCUGGUUCCAUAGGAACCGAUGACUUCAGGCAACUGCCCUCACUCACAGGCAUAUACUCUACCUCCAAAUUCCCCAACCCCUGCACGCGCAUGUGCACUCAUAUACAUCAUAACUAAAGUCAAAAUAACUCUAUAAAAUAAUAAAUAAAUUAAACAGCACCUUUCAGCUCCACAGACACAGAGAUCCUUAGAUGUAUACGUUUGAAGAGCAUUGCAAACUGUGUAAGACAGAGUUGUAUAACUAUCAGUAUGCAGAGAGAAUGCAACUAUGCUAUAGGAAUUGCUGAUUACAUCUAAGAAGAUAGAAGGCAAGUGGGAAAAACUGUUUGCAAAUUCACAAAGCUAGCAGUCAUUUCAGAACCUUCCCGGUUGCAGUUAAGAUACACAAUGGGCCUCAAAAUUAUGAUCCUCCUGCAUCAGCUCUCUGUGUGCAAUUAUUGUUGAGUACCAUCACACCCUGCCCCCAAUCAUGUUUUUGUAUUAUCUAUGUGCAUACAUUUAUGUCUAUGCAUAUAUUUUAACAACUCUCGAUUUUCCGUUCAUUUCAGUUAAAAGUUUUGGGUCUCUCUUGUCCUCUUCGGCAAUACUCACUCCUGUCUGCCAGCCCCUCAGGUGCAGAGCAGCACAUACUGUAAAGGUUCCCUUGGGGUGAAGCUGACACGAGACUUCUGUGCCUUUUGCCUUCCACCCCCUGGACACAGUAUAGUAACCAAAUUCAAGGUGGAUUUUCUAUUUCCCCCCUGGUUUCCCCUCCCCCUUUCCUGCCUCACCUACUUCUCCUUACACCUUUAAAUUUUCAUAAGUAAGACAGAAUUGGGAUUCUCCCAGGUCAUAACCAAAGACAGAAUUUUGAUUUAAAAACAUAUAUGUGAGAGGGUUUGAGAUAGUCUUUUCUUUCUUCCCUGCGUAUCAUGGGAAAUAUAAAGUCAUGAUUUUAUAUUUAAGACAUAAACUCAAUUUUUACCUAGAAAUAUUGUGCACAUGGAACACAUAUCAUGUCCUAAGUGGAUCUUGGGCUGGUUUCCAGAAAGCUGUCUGAGCUUUUGAACCUUGCCUCUCCGCGUUUGGAGACUGUGAUAGAGCACCAUCUUUACAGUAGGAAUGACCUUGAUGUUUGAUUUUCUCCUCUGAUCACUUCGAGAAAAUUGGGCUGUAGCUCAGGUUCAAGAUAAAUCAAUAAACACUUUAAAGUGAAAUUGGGUUAUCUGAACACUAAUUUUAAGCCCCAAACCAAUGUCUAGAUGAGGAAUGGACCCUGUUCUCUCUAACAGACUUACAGAGUGAAGCCUAUUUGGCAUAUCUAAUAUUUGUAAUGUAGGUCUUCAACCCUGCUUGCUAGUCCAAGAACAGAAAUGAUCUCAACUUUUCUAACAAUGUCAAUGGCUCUUUUAGGAACCAUUAAUGAUUUAGGUUAUUGUUACAAACCCAUAAAGUAGUCACAAGGUCAAAUCUUUGCAUAGUUGUUCUAUUCGGGAAAUUUCCUAUUAUGUAUAGGGUUCCAGAAACACAGAGUACUCAAAUGCAAGAUUAGUUACUGUGUUUAUUUCUUAUGAUUACUUUUACCAGGUAGCUGUCAAAGUAGCAAGAAUAGAAAAGAGUUUUCAGUCUUUCAGGGAGAAAUUCAAAAACAAUCUGGACUUUGAUGUGUCAAUAUCCAUAUUCCACAAAUACUCUUAUUUCCUAACACAUGCUGUUACUUAUUAAUAUUAUUUGUGUAUCUGAAUGUGGGGUAUUCUGUGGGGGGCAUCAUCACACACACUGUUUACCUCUGACCCAUUGAUGGAACUCAGAUGGGCAUACUUCCGUUGAAAAAGCCUGUACCCCUUAAGGCAUCUAACGGGCCCUUAUUCAGAAUCUUACUGCAUGUAAAAGCCAAUAAAAUAUUAAUGGCAAGUUUUAGUUUCCCAUAUUUUUUAUCUGUAGCCCCUAACAUAAUUGAAAGAUAUUAACCAAAAAAAAUGAAGUAAUACUGGAUAAUCAAAGAAAUUUUAGGAAAUUUAGUUUCUGUAGGCUGAAACUUUUCCCUGAAUGCAAAUGGAUAUGUGAUGUACUUAUGAAAAUAUUAUCAAUAAUGUAUUCAUGGUUUGUUGGAGAUCUUUUCCUUCAGUGGAUGUCUUGUAGAUUUGUUUUCAGAUCCCUAAGCAUUAGCUAGGAUAUAAGAAACUUUUUCUGCUGAUAAUACACAGUUCUUACAAGGUGUCUGUCCUGGGAUGGGAAAUUAACACAUCAAGACAGCGAUUCUUAAUCCCAAUAUAAAAAGAUAAAUAAAGCUUGUUACUGUAAUCAGGACUGUGCAAUCUUACAUAAUCUCAUUUACAUCUUAGUUUCCCUUAUUAUUCUGUUCAUUAAACUUCUAUUUGAUUUUAGAAAGCAAGUAACUAUAGGACAUUAUAAAAGAUGAAUUGGCAAAGUUCACAGUGAAUACACAACCACCUUCUGUUCCUGAAAUAUACAUCAAGUGUCUUCACUUUUUACCUACUUCCAGUGUGAGCAUUUUAACGUAAGCCUCUGCUGCCUCUGCUGCCAGGCUCCACCUCAAAACCCUACUGCAUAUUCCAUUUUGUUUCCCAUAAGCUUUAACACAAGCCCUCAAAAUGUUGAACACCACACGUAAUGCCUCAUCCAAUUAUUUUAUGAUUAAAGUAAAAUAAAGGACAAUGAAAUGAAAGCAGAAAAUCCACACCAUCUCAGAUCUGAUGUAUUGCAGUCUGGCCUAUUUGGUUUAGGGUACUUUGCCUCCUUUUAAGGUGCAGUUGAGCCAUUGUGUACCCCUAAAUUGACUCCAAGCUCAGAUUUCUCCUGUGUUUUCAUUGCUGUCUCCUUGAGUGCAAGCAGGUUUUCUCACACUCUAAACCACCUUUUAGCAGCAGCAGCAGCAGCAGCAACAUCCCUGGUCCUUCCAUGGGGUUUUUCCCACAUGCUUUGUCUCACUGUUCCUUGUUCAUUUUCUUGUUUACAACAAAUUUUAAAUAAAAAUUCAAGCAUGCAUAUAUAUAUAUAUAUAUAUAUAUAUAUAUAUAUAUAUAUAUACCCAUAAACCACACCCAUAUGCGGUUUCCUUGCCAAAAAAAUUGCUCACUUCAUAAAGACAAGGACCAGAUGAAUUUUAUUCUUUAAGUCACAACAUUUGGCAUGUGGUAAGCUUUCAAUGCAUUUUAAAAAAAUGUUUUCUGCAUAUGAAUGAACAAAAUGAUGCAGCAAUAAUGAUCUAAUUUCAUCAAGGUAGAUAGACAGCUGUGAUGCAAAUGUCAGGGAUUUCAAUUGAACAACCUUUCCACUCUGAAAGUCAUGCCUACCAAGCCACCAUGCUGCACCCCAUCCAAACCGGGCCUGUAAUUCUUUCCCUGCAAUUUGCUCAUUGACAUUGUCCUGAAACAAAAAUGUAUUAUGAAGCACUGACUGUAUCAGACGAUAUAUGUCCCCAAAUAUGUCUGUACUACUUCAUAGCGAGCUCCAGGUCUUGAAAAUCAUUCACUUAAAAACACAGACCAAAUACUUAAAGUGAAUAUGGGUGCUUAGAUAACUACUUUAACAUAUGUUGAUUAAGUCUGAAAUACAUCAAGGAAAACAAGGUUAGUUUAGAGGCACGACUUUCAUAAAAUGCAGGGCAUUUCCCAGUGGGAAUUCAGACUUGACAAAUGAGAAGCAAAUUUAUUUGUAAGCGAGAGAGAGAGUUCAUAUCAACACCAGGAAACACUUACUCAUCUUGAAAAAUGUUUCUCUGAAAGUAUGAUGCCAAGCUGUGCCCUGAUAUGGAGCUUGUUCUACAGAAAAAGAACCCCCUUCCUCCUUUCCUGCAUCUUGGUGUAUGUCCUGUCCUCUAGUUAGAGACAAACCUGAAGGGUGUUUUUUACUCCUGACUUCUAAUCUAAAUAACACUUUCAGUAAGCUUAUAUGCAGACGCCCCACUGCUAAACAGCUUCCUUUUUAUUGGGUCAUAAAAUAAAAUAUGUAGACGAGAAUUCAUUUUUCGCCUUAAUUGAAGAGACUUUUCGUCAUGGGAUGACAGUAGGUGUCAUUGGGGCUAAGAGAUGAGUCUGCCCUUGGGUUCAGACCUGCUGAUUGACUCCUAUCCCUGCACUUCCUCACUAGGUGUUCAGUUCUCUCAUGAUAUAUUCGGUAAUCAGAGCAUGCUUACCUUAGGUAAAGAAAAUAAUGAUAUAGGCCAGUGCAUUCUGACUGGAAAAAAAAAGGAAGCAUUGAAAGGAGGGCAUGAGAAAAGCCGGUCUAUCCCCAUACUAUUUUAAUCCAUUCACUGUUAUGUUCAAAACUAGUAAUUAACCCUUUCUCAGUGACAGGCAUGCAUGUCCUUGAAGGUUCUCAAUUAAAACCACAGCCAAAAAUCUCUUUGUGGUGUUACAUUUUGUCCUUUUCUUUUCCUUUCUAAGGAUUUUUUAACAUGGCUAUUCUAAAUGUUUCAUUUUGAAAGGUAUCCUGAGAUUUACCUCACAUUUUCAUGUUACCCUUCAUUUGCUCUUUUUGUGAAAGUCUUAACUAUCAGAUCCCAUGUUUGACCUUUAAGAGAAGCAUAAGAUACUGAAGUCACACUCAGGACAGCAAUUCCUCAGCAUGCACCUGUCACGACCUGCAAUUACUCAGCACCCUUACCUGCUGAGAUUACUAUCUUUGCUAUAAUGGUUCCUUAUCACCAGAAUGUCAACCCCUAGCUGUAAAGGUGGUGUCUGUGUUAUCAGCCACUAUAUAAGCAGAACAUAAGCUUUAUGAGUAUCUAUUGAUUUAAUAAUAGAUUAAUGGAGAGGAAAUGCUUACCUGUGAUUGAUUAUACUUCAAGAACCUUUUGACUAAUUUUGAUAAACUGACUGAAAGGAGAAAAGAGAAAAUUCAAAUGUCUACAGUAGUGUCAUUUUAAAGCCACAUGAACUAAGAGUGAGCUGAAAUAAAUAUCAGAAUAUAAAAAUAAAAAUAGGGGUUGGGGAUUUAGCUCAGAGGUAGAGCGCUUGCCUAGCAAGCGCAAGUCCCUGGGUUCGGUCCCCAGCUCCGAAAAAAAGAAAAAAAAAAGAAAAAAAUAAAUAAAAAUAAAAAUAGGCUAUUGGUUGUCAGUAAAUGGUCAGUGCCAAGAAGUUUUUUAAAAAUUAAGAUUUUUAAAGUAAACUAGCUUGGUAGGUCAGAGAGCUGACCUUCAUACUACCUGGGGAUGAGUGACACGGGAGAGGAGAUUAAUUCUACUUCAACAUAAUCCUGUAAGUACUUAAAUUUGCAAUUUAAUCUUUGUCCAAGAAGUUUUAAAAGCUCAGUAGAGAAUGUUCUGAGAGUGAGUAUGAUGUGUUCUGCCUUUCUACAUUCCUGAGCCUCCUUGUCUAAAAGUUAAAAACAAAUCUGAAAAUCCUGGUGACAAAACCAAAAGACAAACCCUCAAAAGUGUAGACCCAUCUUUAAUCUGUUGCUUUCUGUCUAGUGUUGACUGGGGUGUAUGUUAACUGUGGUAACCAUUCAUCCUGAUCCAAGCAUAAGAAAGGUGGACCACAGGAUACAUCAAAGAGCAAGAAUCCCUAAUAAUCAAAAACUCCUUGCUUCUCAACUUACACAUGUAGUAAUUUCCCAAUUCUUUCUUCUCUGUGACGAAGUCAACUAACCCAGAGUGACAUUAUGCCAGAAUGGGGUGAGGGGGAGUUCCCAUGAUCAUAGAGUCAUGGUUUCCCAUAAUAGUAACCAUCCAUACUCAUAAUAUUCCUUUUUUAAUUUGUAUGAAAGCCAUCUAAAUAUGAACUAAAGUUUACGGAAUUUUCACUUUCUUUCUCGUUCCAUAUGAUGUAUUAUUCAUAUGGACUUAGCAUUUAGGGGGAGAGCUGCUAAACGUGCAGUGUGAAAUAUGUUAGAAUGCGUCCAUUUCUAAUUAACUUGAUGCUGUCUUGAGUCAUUCUGAAGUGGGGUUCUUAUGGUACCAUGUACAAGGGCAGAUCACUGUUGUCACAUGAAAAUUAUCACUGAAAAGUUGACAAAUGCUUUUACAUGAAUUUAGUGUUUGCCUCUUAAUUAGAGUAUUUAUGGGUCUGCAGUGAGCUUUACUUAUUUCAAAAAUGUAAAUCAUUUCUGGAAAGAUUCCAAAACGUCACAUUACAUUAGGUCUGUGGUGCGUUGAAAACUAAUGUGUUAAAAAAAUUGAAAUGGACUAUGAAUUUUAGGGAAAGAAUUAUUUCAUAUUAGUAUAAAUAAUAUAUAUGUUGAGUCUACCCAUUCAAGAAUCAUUAAUGAUGAAAAUUUAUUAAUUGUAAGGUGUGACUUAUCCUUUAUAUGAAAAAAACCCAACAA